rnacentral:rRNA from 1 species
GACGAACGCUGGCGGCGUGCUUAACACAUGCAAGUCGAGCGGUGAACCACUUCGGUGGGGAUCAGCGGCGAACGGGUGAGUAACACGUGGGCAACCUGCCCCUAGCACUGGGAGUAACCCCGGGAAAACCCGGGGCGUAAUACCGGAUAUGACUUCGAGCGGCAUCACUCGAAGUGGAAAGAUUUAUCAGCUAGGAGUGGGCCCGCGGCCUAUCAGCUUGUUGGUGGGGUAAUGGCCUACCAAGGCGACGACGGGUAGCCGGCCUGAGAGGGCGACCGGCCACACUGGGACUGAGACACGGCCCAGACUCCUACGGGAGGCAGCA